UACAGAGGUCUCAAGCGGUGUUCGGAUUCAUUGGGCGUAAAGGGUGCGUAGGCGGCGCGGUAAGUCGGGUGUGAAAUCUCGGAGCUUAACUCCGAAACUGCAUUCGAUACUGCCGUGCUUGAGGACUGGAGAGGAGACUGGAAUUUACGGUGUAGCGGUGAAAUGCGUAGAUAUCGUAAGGAAGACCAGUGGCGAAGGCGGGUCUCUGGACAGUUCCUGACGCUGAGGCACGAAGGUCAGGGGAGCAAACGGG
rnacentral:rRNA from 1 species